GUAGGGUGUGUGUGUGUGUGUGUCUGUGUGUGUGUGUGUGUAGAUGAUGUGUGCCACACAGGAUUGGGUUCUGCUGACUGCUGUGUUUGGCAUGAGAUUCACUGUUUCCAUUAUUCUCACAUGUGACAAGACAAUAACGCCCCGCUCAACGAGACGAGCGAGCACGCCAAAACCACCAGCAGCGCCCCACACCACCAGAGACUAUAAACACUUAGCAGAACAUGCUUGUUCCCAGCGUCAGGUCUGGUCUGAGCCUCGCUCCUCAGAGAGAGAGAGAGAGAGAGAGAGAGUGAGAGAAAGUGUGUGUGUGUGUGUGUGAGAGAGAGAGAGCGAGCGAGAGAGAGUUUAAAUGGGAGUUGUGUGAGAGACAUAACCACAGAACUAUUGUUCUGACUGGGUCUAUUUUUUUUCCCUCUUCAAAAUUUGUCAAGCUCCAGUGCCAACAGAUCUGGCAAGAUCCAGCGAUCUGAAAUAACCAGAAAACCCCUUCAGUGAUACCCUGUGAAUACCUCCAUUGUGCAAUGAGACGAGACUUCAAAAACGGACAGACCUGUACAGUCAGGCCGACUCUCGUUGGGAAAGUGUGUCAGGCCGGUGCCGAGUCCCUCAUUACCCUGCGCUCCCAAGCCACACCUGAUACGAUCAUGGCACUAACCUGGGAUGACACCUCCGCCUAUAGGCCGUGAUGCGGACACGCCAGCGCUGACUGACGCCAAGGCGAUGCCCACAUCCUGACCCAGCUGUGGUGCGAGAAGCAGCAAGCCGAAGGAUUCACACCCGGCUCCCGCUGAAAACUCUCCGCAUUCCGGGUCAACCGAGAGUCCUGCAGUUGGAAACAAAGAAGUUCAACAUUUUAGAUGAAUUUCCACGAGGAUGUCAUGGUGAACAAGACUCCGCUAUCAGGCAGUGUAAUCAGAGAGAAAGAUUGUCCCAUCUACUGAGUGCUGACAAACCACAACCUUAGUCAUCAUGCAGUCACAGAGUGAAAAUAAUGAGGAUCAUUUCUCAAGAGGCAAGCCAUCUGGUUUCACUUCAGAUCCAUCUGGAUCCGUCUCCAGCCCAGGAAUUUCAGGAAUACGUUUUGGAGCCAUGCCCACAUCCGUUCACACAGACUAGUGUUUUCAAUUACACUACUUUAAAUGUCUCUGAAGAGCUCGUGGCUCUAAGCUGUUUGUGUGUGUGUGUGUGUGUGUGUGUGUGUGUGUGUGUGUUUGUGUGUGUGUGUGUGUGUGUGUGUUUUACAGAGGAAGGGAACAGGGAUGGCGGGUGUUUUGAGGUGGCGGGGGGGCGGUUGGUGAUGCUAAAUGCUACUUCUCGGCUUGGCAAAAAAAAAAAAAAAUAGCAGAGCGAAGUGACAAAGCUCCCUGACUCAGUGCGUGCAUUCGGUCUGAGUCCCCCUGGUCCUGGCUUUUGCACGCCCCACAGGAGCUGUUGAGUUGGAUGGCGGUUUGUCGGUCCCACAGGCCCUGUCACCCUGUGCCAACCCAACAGCCACAAAUUCCAUCAUCCAGUUAGGUCCAAACCUCACCAUCGCACCACCACUCAUCGCCACACAGACAGGCACAAUGGGAUCAGAAGUCUCUCGGCCCUGGGCCGGCACCAUAUCGAUGGCUCAUAGUUAAACUGGAGGCUUUUUUUUUUUUGACGUGGGGAGGGAAUAAAAACUUGAAAGCAUGUUCUGUGGUUAGUUUACAGAGACCGGGCUGAAUGCUGGUCUGACGCGUCACGCUUGAAGGGUGUGGGCGACUGUGAUGUUAUCCACAGUGGGACGUAUGGACACACAUCUAUGUAAUGAAUCAGUUUGGACCGCAUUGGGUCUGAUUAAUCUGUGGCGUCGAGGGAACCUUAAUUUAGACCGUACUCUGUGUGAUUAUCACGUGGGCCACAGCCUCAAAUACCCAAUAAAAUAAAAAUCUGUGAACUUCAGCUGCAAAUAAACCUCUUUUAACAUA